rnacentral:rRNA from 1 species
UUACAAAGGGCGACCAGGCAGAUCGCACUGGCACCAGGAGCCAAAGAAAGGACGCGGAUAAGCUGCGAAAAGCCGCGGGCGAGGGAGCAAAUAUCCAUUGAUCCGCGGGUAUCCGAAUGGGGGAAACCGGCAGAAAGAAUCCUGUCACCGUAUGAUGAAUCCAUAGUCAUGCGGAGGGAACCCGGCGAACGACAUCUAAGAAAGCCGGAGGAAGAGGAAAACAUCAGCGACCCUAAGUAGUGGCGAGCGAAAGGACGAAGCCCCAAACCAAAGGAGUUUCCAUCCUUGGUUGGAGGACCACACGAAGAAGAAACCAGUAGGUAGCCGAAACUGGUUUUGGGACAGCGCGCACAGAGAGUGACAGCCUCCUGUGCGAAACAGACUCAGACUCAGUGGCAUCCGAGCCACUACGGGACACGAGAAACGUCAGGAAGCGAGGGGACUCACCAAGGCAGAAAUGUCACUGGUGAAUGCCGAUGAGUAUAGUACCCGUGAGGGAAAGGUGAAAAAGAACCCGAGGGGUGAAAGAGAACCUGAAACCCCACAAGCUGCGGAAGAGCGACUAACUCGACCGUGUACUCUCGUAGAACGGUCCGAAGCGAGCUGCCGUUGCUGGCGCGUUAAGCACUAGUACUGGAGCCGAAGGAAACCAAGAGUCUUAACAGGGCGGUAAGUCAGUAACGGCGGACCCGAAACCAAAUGUACCCACCGGCGGCCAGGAGAGCAGAAAAGUCCCAUAAGUGGAUGGAGGUCCGGUGUCACUACCGCGCUGAGGCGGUGAUGAGCUCGUGGGGUAGCGGAGAAAGUCCAACGAACCCGCAGAGGCUCGUUCUCGAACAGCCGCUUUAGGCUAAGCCUCAAUACCGUCUAAUGAGGAUAGAGCACUGAAUCGCUGCGCGUCAGAGAUCACCAUGCAUGUAAACCUCAGAUGCCAUAGAGCUACCGGGAGCUAGACCAAAGGAGAUCAGUCGACAGCCAAGGAAACAAGCCCAGACCAUACUGCUAAGGUCCCAGAGCUGCUUGAGUGGUGAGAUAAAGGAGUUUCGAAGACAGCUCGGAUGUUUGGCUCAUGAAGCUUGUCAGCUCAAUUCAAAGAGUGCGUAAUGGCUCACUGAGUCAGAGGUCCUGCGCCGAAAAUGUCCGGGGCUGAAACAUAACACCGAAGCAAUGGAAUAUACCAUGGGUAUGUUGGUAGGAGCAUUGAUGACGAGCGAAGCGGUACCGUGAGGAGCCGUGGAGGAUUAUCAGAGAGAAAUGCCGGAAACGAGUAGCGAUGAAGGUGCGAGAAUCCUUCAGGCCGUAUAUCAGGGUUUCAGGGUAAAGCUGAUCUUCCCUGGGGAAGUCAGGACCUAAGCUCAGGCUGAGAAGCGUAGGCGAUGGACAACUGGUUGAUAUUCCAGUACCUCUGGCUGUCGAAAUGUGGGGACACGGAAAUUCAGGAGUGCCCAGCAAAGGAUUCAGAGUGCAAAGCAUGGUUUUAUGCCGGGCAGGCAAAUCCGUCCAGGGUAAGUGAACUGUGAUGCGGACCGAAAUACCGUAGGGGAAGCUCUGGAGGCAAAUCGAGGAGCCGCUAUGUGUAGUCAGAGCCCGUACCGUAAACCGACACAGGUGGAUGGAGGAGAGUAUCCCAAGGCCGGCAGGGAGCAUAUGCAUGUUAGGAACUCAGCAAAAUAGCCCGUAAGUUCGCGAUGAAGAUUGCAUGUACCAGAUACAGGCCGCAGAGAAUGAGGCUCAAGCAACUGUUUAACAAAAACACAGGUCUAUGCGAAACCGUAGAGGUGAGUGUAUGGGCUGACGCCUGCCCAGUGCUGGAAGGUUACGGGGUGCGGACUUGGUCCGAAGGUACGAACUAAGCCCCCAGUAAACGGCGGCCGCAACUAUAACGGUCCCUAAAGGUAGCGAAAUUCCUUGUCGGGUGAGUUCCGGACCCGCACGAAAAGAGCGUAAUGAUUUGAGCGCUGUUCUCAAUGCACCCAGUGAACUAGUACCAGUGAAGAUAUGGUUACCUGCGCCAAGACGGAAAGACCCCGUCAGGACUUCUCCAUCUUGGUACUGGGAUUAGAUAUACGAUGUGACAGGACGGUGGAGACAAAGAAGCAGGGACGCCAGUUUCUGCGGAGUCAAUGUUGAUACCACCCUUCGUGUAUCUGGUUUCUAACCUUUGCCCGUUAUCCGGGCAGGGGACAAUGCCAGGAGGGAGUUUGACUGGGGCGGUCGCACUCCGAGGUGUAUCGGAGGCGCUCAAAGGUUCCCUCAGAAUGGUUUGGAAACCAUUCGCAGAGUGUAAAGGCAGAAGGGAGCUUGACUGCGACACCGACGGGUGGAGCAUGAAAAGUCGGGACUUAGUGAUCCGGUGGUAUGUAAGUGGGAAUGCCAUCGCUCAACGGAUAAAAGCUACCCUGGGGAUAACAGGCUUAUCACUCCCAAGAGUUCACAUCGACGGAGUGGUUUGGCACCUCGAUGUCGGCUCAUCGCAUCCUGGGGCUGUAGUAGGUCCCAAGGGUUGGGCUGUUCGCCCAUUAAAGCGGUACGCGAGCUGGGUUCAGAACGUCGUGAGACAGUUCGGUCCCUAUCUGGCGCAGGCGCAGGAUAUUUGGAGAAAGCCGUCCCAGUACGGGGACUCGAUGGACGAACCGCUGGUAGACCAGUUGCAGUGCCAGCUGCACGGCUGGGAAGCAAGUUUGGCGAGGGAUAAACGCUGAAGGCAUCUAAGCGUGAAGCCCCCUCCAAGAUAAGAUAUCCCAUAGCGUAGGCUAAUAAGACCCCUUAGAGAGUAUGAGGUUGAUAGGUCAGUGGUGUAAGCGGAGUAAUCCGUGUGCCUUCUGAUACUAAUAGGUCGAAGGCUUGACC